rnacentral:rRNA from 1 species
UGGGGAAUCUUGCUCAAUGGGCGAAAGCCUGAAGCAGCAACGCCGCGUGCGGGAUGAAGGCCCUCGGGUUGUAAACCGCUUUCAGCAGGAACGAAUCUGACGGUACCUGCAGAAGAAGGUCCGGCCAACUACGUGCCAGCAGCCGCGGUAACACGUAGGGACCAAGCGUUGUCCGGAUUUAUUGGGCGUAAAGAGCUCGUAGGCGGUUCAGUCAGUCGGGUGUGAAAACUUCGGGCUUAACUCGAAGCAUGCAUCCGAUACUGCUGUGACUUGAGUCCGGUAGGGGAGUGGGGAAUUCCUGGUGUAGCGGUGAAAUGCGCAGAUAUCAGGAGGAACACCGGUGGCGAAGGCGCCACUCUGGGCCGGUACUGACGCUGAGGAGCGAAAGCGUGGGUAGCAA